UACGUAGGGUGCAAGCGUUGUCCGGAAUUAUUGGGCGUAAAGAGCUCGUAGGCGGUUUGUCGCGUCGGCUGUGAAAACCUAGGGCUCAACCCUGGGCUUGCAGCCGAUACGGGCAAACUAGAGUUCGGCAGGGGAGACUGGAAUUCCUGGUGUAGCGGUGGAAUGCGCAGAUAUCAGGAGGAACACCGGUGGCGAAGGCGGGUCUCUGGGCCGAUACUGACACUGAGGCACGAAGGCCAGGGGAGCAAACGGG
rnacentral:rRNA from 1 species